AAAAGACAGAACCUGCCUGAGGCCACGUGGCCCUAGGUAUCUCUGAGCAAUUGAUUUAUUUAACUCUAACUGGCUUCCUGUUGAACCUUCCAAAAAAAAAGCAUUUAUGUGGGACGCCUGGGUGGCUCAGUUGGUUAA